rnacentral:rRNA from 1 species
GUACGACGUACGGUAACUACUAUAGAUAGGUACGUACGGAACGGAGCUAAUACCGGAUAAUAUUUCGAACCGCAUGGUUCGAUAGUGAAAGAUGGUUUUGCUAUCACUUAUAGAUGGACCCGCGCCGUAUUAGCUAGUUGGUAAGGUAACGGCUUACCAAGGCGACGAUACGUAGCCGACCUGAGAGGGUGAUCGGCCACACUGGAACUGAGACACGGUCCAGACUCCUACGGGAGGCAGCAGGC